UACGAAGGGGGCUAGCGUUGCUCGGAAUCGCUGGGCGUAAAGCGCACGUAGGCGGCUUCUUAAGUCAGGGGUGAAAUCCUGGAGCUCAACUCCAGAACUGCCUUUGAUACUGAGGAGCUUGAGUCCGGGAGAGGUGAGUGGAACUGCGAGUGUAGAGGUGAAAUUCGUAGAUAUUCGCAAGAACACCAGUGGCGAAGGCGGCUCACUGGCCCGGUACUGACGCUGAGGUGCGAAAGCGUGGGGAGCAAACAGG
rnacentral:rRNA from 1 species